UACGAAGGGGGGCUAGCGUUGCUCGGAUUGACUGGGCGUAAAGGGCGCGUAGGCGGUUCGUACAGUCAGACGUGAAAUUCCUGGGCUCAACCUGGGGGCUGCGUUUGAUACGUGCGGACUUGAGUGCGGAAGAGGGUCGUGGAAUUCCCAGUGUAGAGGUGAAAUUCGUAGAUAUUGGGAAGAACACCGGUGGCGAAGGCGGCGCUCUGGACCGAGACUGACGCUGAGGCGCGAAAGCGUGGGGAGCAAACAGG
rnacentral:rRNA from 1 species